GUCAUGAUCAUAACUGGUGGCUAAAUGUUUGAGCAGGACAACAGACAUGGAGGGUAACAUAAAACCUGAAAGGAAGGAUGCCUGUACUACAUCUCUCCUCUCCCUUUGACGCUGCUGUGUGCAGUCUACAAAGGGAUUUUGCUCUGCUAUAACCUUUUUGACAGCUAUUUUGUGAAGGAUAAAGCUACCUGUUCAGCACUAUCUUAACCUUCCAGAAGUGCAAACUUUGCUUUGAAAAUUCAUUACAUAACUUAAUUGCAUAUUUAAUGCAAUUAAUUACACUUUAUUUUGUCUAAUUUUAUUGCUGGAUUGGAUCUCUCUUAAAACAGAAGACGGAAAAAAGGAUGUAUAUACUCUACCCGUGCCUUAAACAAAAAUAUCCAGACUAUCUAAGCUGACAUGCUGUUUGAAAAUCUCCUAAGUAACUCUGAUCCCUCUCUUCAUCAUUCUCUCAUUCCCAAAAGAAUAAAAGUGAUUAGAACAGCAAACACCUGGCAUGUUGGUCACGCAGCAUGACUUUACAUUGUAAUCAUCUCGUCAAGAAGCUGAAAAUAGCAUUGUGCUGUAGCGUUCAAGCAGUUCUGCUUCAGGAAGGAAGACAAUAACCAGCAUUUGGCAGCAGCCUACACGCAUACUAACUGUGAGCGAUACAGAAGUAUUCCAGAAAUUGCAUACCUCGUCUAAUCUUGAAAACAUUCACUCUGCUUUCCCUGGCAAUGUAUCACUGAGACCCACACACUUCUUGUCUCCAAGAGAAAGGUGGUGGGCAUUUACUGUGCUGCACACAACCAUAAAGAAAUCUGUAUAGCAACACUUGCUCCAGCUUUCAGCAAAACAGUGCACAAAAUUAAAUUAAUUCUAGCAUGUUCAGUGUGCAAUAUAAAUUGUAGGAAAGAACAGCAAAAAUCUUUAUUUGAAUCAAUUAAGGUGAAUCAUGAGCAGAUAAGAAAGAAGGAAAUCAAAGGUCUUCAGGAAAACAGUCUGCCUGAAAUAUAUGAAGAAACCAUGAGAAUCAAUGAAGUGUUGAUGGGAACUAGAGGAAAACACAAGGUUAUGGUGGGCAGAUCCAGACCCGAGAAAGCUGGUGGUGUAGUAGCAACAGCACUACAUUUCAUGAUUCGUGGCAGUUAGACUACAGCAAUCCAGGAAUAUCAGUUUUAAGCAAUACAUUUGGACAAGACAUCUUGACAAAAGAGAAUUUCUUGGAGGACAUGAAGAGGGUAGGAGAACAACUCAGCUAAUCUGGCAGCAAGGUAAUACCAUUGGUGAAAAUAGUGAUGGGUUGAUUUAAACCACAACAUAGGGCUUUCAGAACUGGACUGAAAAGCAAAUAGCUUUUGCAACCUGAGGGAUCAUGAGAUUACCUCAGCAAAGCCCUCUGUGUUAUCUUCUGCAGAAGUUUUCAUUUACUGCAGAUGAUGCCUUAACAUCAUGCUUCUACACAAACAUCUAUUGUAUUUUAUUUUAAUUCUGUUAGCUUGUCUGAG
ensembl:lncRNA